UGUCGUCGUGCACACACACACACACACACACACACACACACACAGCCCCCAUGCUGCGCCGCACUUGUGUAUCUCGUGGCCAUGCCACAUCGAACCUUUUCGCCCCUCCUCACUCGGGUCGUUGGUUCAACCCGCCGCACCAAUGGACGAUGAGCGACACGUUUGUGCCGGCGUUCUUCCUCGGUUUCUCGCCCAUGGCCAUCUGUGUAUACCUCUACCACGCUGCGUACAUGCCGCAGUACUCGCACUACCAGGAGAAGAACUACUACCCGGCCCAAGUGUACACGAAAGAGUUCAUCCACAAGUACAACCGCCUGGAGCGCUGGCGUUGGUACUAGGUGCGUGAGAAGAGCAUCGGUUGCUUCUGCUUGCGCUUCUCACGUGCACAUACACGUAUACAUAUAUGCGCAUGCAUCGCUCGCUUUCAUCUCUCUGUGUGUGCUGGGUUACACUCUGUCUUGCAUGCUGGUGCCCAGGCGACUGAUCUGUGCACGUGUGUGGUCAAGUGGAGGCAUACACGACUGCUUGACUCUUCCCUCUCUCUCUCGGUGGGCGAGUGUAGUGGCUGUACCUGCGUAUUCCUUCCAACGCGAACAAAAAGAAGACAUAGGCGUUGCCAAGACCGGAAGACCCCCUCUCCCCACACAAAAAAAGGGGCCAUCACCCGCGAACACAGAGAGAAAGAGAGGUGAUACUUGCUCACUCGUGCCAGCCAGCCUCCUUCUCUACCUCGUAGUCUCUCUCCCUCUCUCUUCGCCGCUUCUUCGACAGCUCUUGAGGGAAGGUACGUAUGCGGUUGGUGUGGCGGUUGUGUCUGCCCUGCUGUGCGCGUGUGCGCCUCCUUCGUCUCACUCCUCUCUUCUUUCACCACAUCUCUGUCGUCUGUGCCCCUUCCCCUUCCCCAUCUUAUUCCCUACGGGAAAACGCACACACCACAG
rnacentral:misc_RNA from 1 species